CCUACGGGUGGCAGCAGUGAGGAAUAUUGGUCAAUGGGCGCGAGCCUGAACCAGCCCAGUCGCGUGAGGGAAGACGGUCCUAUGGAUUGUAAACCUCUUUUGUCGGGGAGCAAAAGACGCCACGCGUGGCGUUACGAGAGUACCCGAAGAAAAAGCAUCGGCUAACUCCGUGCCAGCCGCCGCGGUAAUACGGAGGAUGCGCGCGUUAUCCGGAUUUAUUGGGUUUAAAGGGAGCGUAGGCCGCAUGUCAAGCGUGCUGUGAAAUGUCCGGGCUCAACCCGGGCCUUGCAGCGCGAACUGGCGUGCUUGAGUCCGCGGAAAGCAGGCGGAAUUCGUCGUGUAGCGGUGAAAUGCUUAGAUAUGACGAAGAACCCCGAUUGCGAAGGCAGCUUGCUGCAGCGGAACUGACGCUGAUGCUCGAAAGCGCGGGUAUCGAACAGGAUUAGAUACCCUAGUAGUC
rnacentral:rRNA from 1 species